UGCACAACAAUUCCAAAUGAUGCUGCUCCACUUCAUCUGGAUGAUGACAGUCAGCUUUCAAACUGGAUCCUCUGAGGAUUUAGUCAAACCCUUUAGAGAUCGAAUACUUGUUUUGGAAGGAGACAGUGGGACUCUGUCCUGCAGCUAUUCUGGUUCUGUCUACAGUGUCUUCUGGUACCGACAGAACCUCAGAUCAUCUCCAGAACUUCUCAUCACAGAGUUUUCAGUCAUAACAGGGUUGACUUUGAAACAUGAAAAAGACAGAAAAGAGUUUCAUUUGGAGAUCAGCAGGACUGCAGUGACAGACUCUGCUGUGUACUACUGUGCUGUGAAGCCCACAGUGACACAAAACACUCAGUCUGUGGACAAAAACCUCACUCAGUGACAAACAGUGCCACCAAGU